rnacentral:rRNA from 2 species
GUGGGGGAUAACGUUCCGAAAGGAACGCUAAUACCGCAUACGUCCUACGGGAGAAAGCNGGGGACCUUCGGGCCUUGCGCUAUCAGAUGAGCCUAGGUCGGAUUAGCUAGUUGGUGAGGUAAUGGCUCACCAAGGCGACGAUCCGUAACUGGUCUGAGAGGAUGAUCAGUCACACUGGAACUGAGACACGGUCCAGACUCCUACGGGAGGCAGCAGUGGGGAAUAUUGGACAAUGGGCGAAAGCCUGAUCCAGCCAUGCCGCGUGUGUGAAGAAGGUCUUCGGAUUGUAAAGCACUUUAAGUUGGGAGGAAGGGCAUUAACCUAAUACGUUAGUGUUUUGACGUUACCAAC